UACAGAGGUGGCAAGCGUUGCUCGGAUUUAUUGGGUGUAAAGGGCAGGUAGGCGGUCGGGCAAGUCGGGUGUGAAAUCCCUGGGCUUAACCCAGGAACUGCACUUGAUACUGCUUGACUUGAGUGUCGGAGAGGUGAGGGGAAUUCCUGGUGUAAGGGUGAAAUCUGUAGAGAUCAGGAGGAACACCGAUGGCGAAGGCACCUCACUGGCCGAUAACUGACGCUGAGCUGCGAAAGCCGGGGGAGCAAACAGG
rnacentral:rRNA from 1 species